rnacentral:rRNA from 1 species
CCUACGGGAGGCAGCAGUGGGGAAUAUUUGGCAAUGGGCGCAAGCCUGACCCAGCAACGCCGCGUGAAGGAAGAAGGCUUUCGGGUUGUAAACUUCUUUUCUGAGGGACGAAGAAAGUGACGGUACCUCAGGAAUAAGCCACGGCUAACUACGUGCCAGCAGCCGCGGUAAUACGUAGGUGGCAAGCGUGAUUCGGAUUUAUUGGGUGUAAAGGGCGUGUAGGCGGGAAAGCAAGUCAGCUGUGAAAACUCAGGGCUCAACCCUGGGCCUGCAUUUGAAACUGUUAUUCUUGAGUGCUGGAGGGGCAAUCGGAAUGCCGUGUGUAGCGGUGAAAUGCGUAGAUAUACGGAGGAACACCAGUGGCGAAGGCGGAUUGCUGGACAGUAACUGACGCUGAGGCGCGAAAGCGUGGGGAGCGAACAGGAUUAGAUACCCUAGUAGUC